rnacentral:rRNA from 1 species
UACCAGCACCCCGAGUGGUCGGGACGAUUAUUGGGCCUAAAGCAUCCGUAGCCGGUUCUACAAGUCUUCCGUUAAAUCCACCUGCUUAACAGAUGGGCUGCGGAGGAUACUAUAGAGCUAGGAGGCGGGAGAGGCAAGCGGUACUUAGUGGGUAGGGGUAAAAUCCGUUGAUCCAUUGAAGACCACCAGUGGCGAAGGCGGCUCACUGGACCGGAACUGACGCUGAGGCGCGAAAGCGUGGGGAGCAAACAGGG